UACGGGGGGGCAAGCGUUGUUCGGAAUUACUGGGCGUAAAGGGCUUGUAGGCGGCCAACUAAGUCCGACGUGAAAUCCCCAGGCUUAACCUGGGAACUGCGUCGGAUACUGGAUGGCUUGAAUUCGGGAGAGGGAUGCAGAAUUCCAGGUGUAGCGGUGAAAUGCGUAGAUAUCAGGAGGAACACCGGUGGCGAAGGCGGUUCUCUGGGAAUAUCCUGACGCUGAGGAGCGAAAAGUGUGGGGAGGCGAAACAGG
rnacentral:rRNA from 1 species